CCGACCCGACCGGCGGCGCUGGGGCCGCUCUCGGCGGGAAGGGCGAAGUGAGGCAGACCAGGCGGGCGGGGGGCGCGGGGCCGUCAUCCGCUGCGCUCCUCGGGAGCCCCUCCUUUAGGGCCGUCGUUUUACGCGGCCGUCGGAUGGUCGGUUUGUUCAGAAAACCGUCCGUUCUGGCCGCGAGCACGUGAGGUCGGUUGUGGAUGAGAUCGGGGAGGUCAUCCUUGCGCUUUCUCUCCCGGUGGCACGCCGUGCUCGGGGAGAGCUGGCCAACCAGCUGGCCGCGAUCAGGGCAGGGUGAAAGCACGGCGGAAAGCAGAACGCGGUGGCCCCGCGGCUGUCCCGGCACAAAUACGGGGCUGCGGGUGUCGUGCACUGCGGGCGCACGCCGUCAGGAAUAGCAGCGGCACUCGCUCUGUGUUACAGUUCCCGGGAGUUCGCUUUUUUUGUUUUUUUCUUUUUUUUUGUUUUUUCUCCCGAGUCCUAAUAGAUACUGGGAGAGAAACCUGUGACGAGAGUUUGCAAGAGUGCUAUAAGUGGUGUACGGAACGCUGUACAGGAGAAUGCUUUCCUCCUUCCCAAAAACGCCUUGGGAAAAGUAAUUUCUCAAGUAAUUGGUAAUUGCUACCAGGUACUUAGUGAAAAUUUAUCUUCUCGUGGUUGGGAUUAAGAAAAUCUUUCUAAAAUUCCGGGGGUGGAUGGUGAAUCUCUGAUGGAUUAAAAGAGCUGCCUGAGGCAGUGUCACAUUUCCAGGAGGAGGGGAGGGGAACAAAAGUGCUGUGGAUUUCGGUGAGGAUUUGGAGAUGGGGAGAUGAAGCAUCACAAAAUUUGCUGUGCCUCAGCGGGGCACGGGGUGGAGAUAGCGGUUCAAACCCAGAUCCCUCAAAGCAAAGGGUUCCCACGAUGCAGCCUCUGUGAAACGCAAAGCGGAGCGGCAGUUCCUACAAUACAAUUCACUGGUGUGUGAGAUCCUCGCCUGUCAGCGUUUGUCAGCUGACUGCUGCCUCGCACUCGUCUGCACUGCAGUUUCUCAACCGUUUGAAAACUGUACUGCUCUUAAAUGCUUGGCGGUGUAGAUUCUUUCAUAUUGAAUCUUUCUUCUAAACGUUUAAACUAGAACGUGUUGCAGUGAGCUUACAUUCCACGUGUAAGGAAGGAGACUUGUUGCAGCCAGGAGCGUAGCAUUCAUCCGGGAAUGUUUUAAAGCAUGUCGGGAUGCACUGGGGUACUUAGAAAAUGUGUGAAGAACUGCAUGAUAAGGAGCCAUAGGUCUCUGCAGUAGAAUGCAAAGAUAAUCUGCGCUUGAGUGCAAUGGCUAAUCUAGAAUUGCUAAUAAAAUUGAUAGAGAAUCAUAAAAUAAUUUAGAUUGGAAGGAACCGCUGGACUUCAAAGCAGGACUGGUCUCCGUUACAUUGGGUUGCUCAGGGACAACGUCUCAGCCUCUCCCGGACUGUUUACUCAGCAAACCUUUAGUGACGUAGCUCUUCCCAAAUAACCUCACUAAUUCCUUGCUUUGUCAGCCCGAUACGAGAGAUUCCACCUCUGUUCCAUGCACUCAGCAAUCAAACUGCUGUGGCUGAUUAAGGUGGUCCGUAGUGCCUCUGUGAUACCACAAUUUAAGUUGCAUGGGUGAAUUUGGUUCUUUCUACUGAAUGUCUUUGUGAACAUAGGUUUCACCUGUUAAUUUUCUCUUAACAUUUAACACAAAAAAAUUUAAAACCUCUUACCUUCAUUGCAGAAGUUUUUAUUUUCAGACUUCUUUGUUGCAAAUGAAGUUUUAUGUAGAUGUUGGGACUAAAUAUUUGAAAAAAAUCAUUCUGACAUGCUGUGGCAAGAAUGUGUUUAUAGUAACAUUAAUUCACUGUUUCUUCAUCAGCAGUUUUUUACUUCCCCUGUCAAACCCGCACACCGCUGAGGUUUAUAGCUGGAAAUAAUCACUGAUGUGCAGCUGGUGGACAUUUUUAACAUGCGCUUUCCCCCUACAAUCUUGUGAGAGUCAGUAGCUUUUACUGCCAAAGUCCAUAUAUUCAGACAUUAACAUCAACUGCCCAAGGAGGUUGUGGAUGCUCCAUCCCUGUUGGCAUUCAAGGCCAGGCUGGAUGUGGCUCUGGGCAGCCUGGUCUGAUGGUUGGUGAUCCUGCACAUAGUAGGGGGGUUGAAACUACAUGAUCACUGUGGUCCUUUUCAAUCCAGGCCAUUCUAUGAUUCUGUUAUUAACGAAUAUCUAUUUCCUUUUCCAUGCUUUGACCAGACAGUGCCAGAGAGAACUCUUCACUGCUUAACUGCCCCGGUCCUGUAGAUAGCACAGCUGUUUUAUUCAGUCUGAAAUCCAAUUCUCCAGCUCCAGCUUUCAGCUUUCUUGUUUCUCUGAUAAUCCUUUGGUUCUCUCCGCUUCCUUCUCUUCUAUUAGAGAAAGACCUACAAAUCUCCCACGGUUCAUUGACAAAAAAUCAUAAAGUGAUGUAGCUUCCUGUAAAUGAAGAGCUCUCAUGCCUCACAUGAGGGAGUGGAAUAAAUACUGGAUGCUUCACAUUACAUGUGCUGCUGCAGUGUGGCGUUUUGCACCACAUGUAGAAUAACGCACACCUGAGCUGUGCUGUUGCCAGUUGCUGGCCUUGCUUUGUUAAAGGAUAAUUAAUUGAGCAGGUGAAAAGCAGCAUGUAUUGCAUGGACUCCUGUUUAUCACUCUGUGUGCUUAUUUAUAUGUACAUGAAGAGAAUUAUUUAUAAAACUGCUUAGAGGAUGAAUAUCAUUGCUGAAAAAUUCCAUACAUAAUACUAUUACAAUUCCAUGCUAUUUAAUUCAAUGCUCUUAAAAUUCCAUUAAAGCAUUUAAAUGUGCCUUUGUAUGUUCUGCCCAAUUAGGGUUUUAGUGAACAAUAUGCAAGCUCCUAUGAAAAGAAUAGGAUCUUCUGCUUUUAAAUGAUAACAUCCAUUGUGUGAGACCCUGAGGACUGAAUUCCCAACCUUGUGCGAUCCAUGAUGGAGAGUAUCCUAUUGAUGAGGGACAUUAUGCAAGCUAUGGGGGCAGUGAGCUUUUUGCACAUACCCAGAGUUUCCUUUUGUUGGAGCUGAGGAGAGUAUUUGAAGUCUGAGGCAACAGAAUUCAGUGAGAAACAGAUUAUGCUAUGAGAGAUAUCUUGCAUUUCCAGUGUAUUCUGAUCAUAGCUUUUUCAGCAAGAUGCUUCUGAUACGAACAGCAUGUUAUUUCUGGAGACAUUUCUGUUUCCAAAUUCCUGCUGUGACCUAACAAAUACUUUCAUGACAAAACUGGCUUUUCCAAGAUAUCUUCAAAGACUAAGGGGAUGUUAUCCAUUCCAGGAGCAUAUUUCUGCAAUGGAUGUUCAUAAAAUAAAGAAGAUUUUCUUUUUAAAAAGGGUUGGAGUUCCACUAACAUGUUUUUUGUGUUAUUGGAAAUAUCUAUUCCUAGACAUGUGAAAGUUUCAGAUCAAAAGCUCCUGGAUAUUAAGGGAUUUUUGAAGCUAGAAAUUCACUAAUAGGAGAGGCUUUUCUGUCUCUCAAGUAAAAGCUUGACUCUGGAGAAUAGGAUUAUUUGCUGUGGGAAUCACACAACAAAGUGUGUCUGAAUUGGCGCCUUGCUACUGUGGCAGAAGUGAAUGCACAUAUGUCAAAAUUGGAAAAACAGAUUUUAGCUGAAAACAGUCGAUAUAAACAGCCUCUUUAUGGUGUGGACAGCAGUACUCCACUGAACGAGUACCAAGAAGAGGAAAUAAUGCAGGAAGCUCACAAGGAAGGAAGGACUUGAAAACCUCAAUGCUGUCACUGGCCUGAGGUUACGUCUGUGCUGCACUUCAGGUGCAGCCAAAGUAGAAAUACCUGUAUAGAGUUUGGCAGCAUGAGUUCAGCUGUCUGGGCAGCCCUGGGUGUCCUCAGAAAGAGCGUUUGUGGAAUUUCCACUGUGGUACAAGUUGAUGUAGGCACACCUGUUAUGUCACAGUCCUUGCUUCCAGAUCACAAUUAAAGAAAGCUUUGGAAAGUGUAAUUCCCAAUAACAGGAACUCACACACAUUGUGUUCCAGAUCUAACUGUGCCAUUUGAAGAUUUUGCCACUUUCCAUCUUUGAUGCUGUGAUUGCUGCUGCCAUAGCUGCUGAUUAAAGGGUUUGUUUAAGAGCUCUUUAACUUGCUCCAGGCAAAAUGAACAGAGCUGAAUGGGUGGAAACAGUGGAAGCUAUCAGCAGAGGAGUGGGAAACAACUGGCAGAACAACCAUGUCAACCACUGGCACACCUGUCUGCAAACUCAGUGCCAGUGUAUGACUGCAUGUCCUGUGGGUAUUACAACUCUUCUGAACAUGUUCCUGCCUUUUCUGUUACACAUUCUUGGCUCAGCUCUCGUUUAUGCUAAGUACUUUUGUACGGCUCCCGCAUUGUAAAACAAUUUGAAAGUGCUCAAAGAUGUAAUUUACGCCCUUUUAUUUGAAAGUGUUAAAAAAGGUAAUUUAUACCCCUUGUAAAGCUUUCUUCAGAACAAUGUGAAAACUGUCUAAGGGGCGAAUAGCAAUGACUGUAAUCCUGCAGAAUUAAAUCCACAAUAUUUUCCCAGAACUUCAACCCCAAAUUCAGUAUACCCCUCAGCCAAAUGGCAGUCCACGUGAGGGCUUGGUAUCACGAUGAUUUUAUGCCACUGGAGAGAAGCUGGCGUGGAGCUGGUUGCAGCAUUCUUUCCCUGUUUGCACUUCUCACGCUCACUGUGUAUGUAUGUGACUCCUCUUAGUCCUCAACUUUGAUGGGUCCAGUUGCACAGAAACCUCUGAAGAGAGUUUUGUCUGCCUGGCUGUAAGCAGCUGUCCUCAUCACCGUCUUUCUAGGUUGUCCUUGCUGCCAUAGAGCCUUCCCCUCCACAGUACCACCACCUGUAUUCCUAUGGCUAUAGCUGUGGCUAGUUUUGCCUUAAAAAAUGCAUUCAAUUCCUUCUUAGUUCCGGCCCUCAUUUAAAGUGACCUUUCCCUUUUUUGCCUGCCAUCCUUCUCACUGAGAUCUUCCUGAUCCUUUUUGUCUGCCUUUGGUUAGGCCUCUGCUCUGAGUGUUGAUCAGCUCUUAAAGCCAUGGGAUCUCACCACGUGCCUGACUGAAAAAAUAGUGCCUUCUUGGUACUUCACAACUUUUUUUCUUUGAUGGCUCUCCUUAGCAGUCCGGUAUUUUACAGUCUGUAUCUCGGACAGAUGUGCUUCAUCAGAGAGUGAAUGAGCUGUGAAAGAUGCGCUCAAGGAGAGCACAAAGCUCCCAUUCUGGGUGUUUAAACAACAGCGCUCUCACUGUGGCUUUGAUCAGCGCCUGUUCAGUCAGGGUGCAGCCUCCUCCUCCUAACUUUCUGACUGCUGACUUCAGGUAAUCCGAUUUGGCCAUCUCUUUGUUACAAUAUCUGCUUUCCAUCUCUUGUUUAUCCAGGCAACCUGAUACACUUUAGCUUAUUUCUAAAUCUACCAGCAGGUCAGUGAUACUCUUACUUCAUCUUAAAUUAUCAAAGUUCAUAAAACAUCAUUUAAAAACAAAAACCAAAAAACAAAACAAAACAAAA